rnacentral:rRNA from 1 species
UAUGUUCAACGGCCGCGGUACCCUGACCGUGCGAAGGUAGCGUAAUCACUUGCUCUCUAAUUAAGGGCUAGUAUGAACGGCUACACGAGGGCUAAACUGUCUCCUUUUUUUAAUCAGUGAAACUAAUCUCCCCGUGAAGAAGCGGGGAUACCCCCAUAAGACGAGAAGACACUAUGGAGCUUAAAACAAAACAACAAAGCAGCCCCCCCCCCC